UAGCUGUCUGGAAAGCAUUUGUCUUCUUUCCUGAAGAAGUGGUGGAGUGACAAAUUAAUCUUACUUUUGGUUUGUGCUGAAGGGUAUCUGUCUGCAGAACACCUACUAUAUAAUGAAUAAUAGGCCACAAAAUGACCUGAAGGGAAGCAGAGAAAACAGAAAGACAUUCAUUAAUGACGUAUCAUGGAUAAGAGACCAUGAUAGCUACCACAUCACAACGACGAGGAAGACAAGCUAUUUGUUCUCAAGAAGGCUGCAAUUUGGGAGGCUUUCCAUUUGCACUAUGGGUCACAGCUGCCAUCCCAAGGAGGGACAGUCUGGUUGCAGGAUCUCUGGAUGGAUUGGCAGAGAGGAGAUGCAGAUAGGCACAUCCUUGUGGAGUCAAACCAGGCAGGCCAGACUUGGAGACAAAGCCAUGCAUGAAAAGAAAAAUGCCUGAACAAACGUGAAAGCCCGUGAGCGGCCUCUCUUGACUGUGUACUUCCCAGCAGCUGACACAGAGGCAGGAACGUCCCAAGGUCCCUGAUAAAAUGUCCCCAUAAAGCAAAGUGGAGUCCGGCUGCCUGGGGGGACAUUCAGCUUUUCCUGCCACUACAACCUGUGAUAAAUUCAUCCUAAGGGCCCUCUUAGAGAGGUCACUGGGUAACACAAGAAACGGCUUAUUUGAUUACAUUCUUAGAGUGAGAGUAAUUCUGAGUUUAUGGAUUCUUUUUUAUAUUGUCCUUCGAACUAUGCUGAUGAGAAACUUAAAAGCAAUUUAAAUUGGAAGUCAAGCUAAAGCCACCCACGGCCUAAUUAGUUCAUCAGUCUUAAUCCAGCGAAGGCUCUGAAUAGCUAAGGACAAAGUUGGUUUGCAAUCUUCAAACUUUCACUGAGGUCACUUACCCUGACAACCAUCAGGGCUCCCCACUCAAGUCCUUUCUGCUGCUGUGCUUGUUUUAUGCUUCAUGCAUUGAGCAAGGCCUGUGAUGAGCAUAGAAACAGUACUGCUGUAGAUGUUAGGAGUCUAAUGAGGAGACCUGCUUAGCUGAAGAUUCUGGGCAAAGCCCGAACAAGGAAAACUACAGGAUCUAAUUUCCGAACCAUUUUUAUUAAUAGAUAUAUUUUAAAAAGUCAGUCCAAAUAUUUUUCUCUGAUACAUGUUCUCUCUCUCUCUCUCUCUCUCUCUCUCUCUCUCUCUCUCUCUCUCCCCCGCCCUGUGUGUGUGUAUGUGUGUGUGUGUGUGUCCUCUCCCUCUCUCCCUCCCCAUCUCUCUUUUGAAGCAAGUAUAAUUAAGAACCUCAUCUAUUGGGACUAAUAAAGAUACCAGGUAGCCCACUUUCCUCUGAAGCAUAUAUUUUUGUUUUCUACAUUAGAUUAAUCUCGCAACCUUUAAAACUAGCAAAUAUGGAACCAACUGUAUCUAUAUGAAAAUCCAAAACAUUAGGGCAGCGAAAACUAGUGUGGGAAGAUGAUGGCUUGGACAGCCCAGAAUUCUCUCCUGGCUUCAGCCCAGAGGCUGCAGAAGCAGCUGCUCCGCAACAGUGUGUCUCCUCCAAGCAAGCCGUGCUCUCCUGAUGGUCAGGCUGCCCAUUAAUUAAUGUCUACAGCCAGGGGUUGCUGACCCUUCUGAUUUCAUUACAGUCAGAAACUCUCUGGUGCUUACUCUCUCAUUCAUACAAAGGCCAAGUGCUUUUGGAGUCCUUUUAUAAACCGACUGCCUAAGGGCCCAAAUCAAAAAGGAAUCUAAUACUGGUGCUAAAUGAUCAUUCUGUGGCCUAAAAAUCUGUGUUCAAAAUUAUUCUUGCCUGUGAUAUGACCCCUUGUUAAUACCAGAAAUAAAGAAUUAUCCCUAUGCGAGAGAAAAGCUCAAAGGAAUUUGACCUCAAAGGGUAUGACGACCUUAACACAGAUUUACAUACUAAGACUCAUAGACUAAUAUUUUUCCUAUAGACAGCAGGGAUGCAGCUGUUCCAUACAUUGCUCUAUACAUUUUAAAGAAAUGGUGAGUGAGAAACCUGGAAUAACCAGGACAUCCCUAGGACACAAAUGUGCCUGGAAGUCCUAGGAAAAGGCAACCCAGCAAGACCGUCACUGCAGCCUGCAUGGUUCCUUGAGAGCAUGCAGAAUGAACACAUCCGCAGCACAGGCAGCGGCAGCACUGAUGGGAGAACUGAGCUUCUUGGUUCUAGUUGCCAUAAACGAGCCAAUCCAAUGAAAGAGUUCACUUCAAAGCUUUUCAAAGAGAUCGGGUCCGUAUUUGCUUCUUGUAAGACCAUGGUUCUACAUGUCCAACGCAGCCCAUGUGGUUUAGUUUGAGCCAAAAACUAAGUCUGGGAAACUUGAAAUCAGAAUUAAAAUAAAAGGGAAGAAGACAACGAGCCUGCCAAAACUAUAGCUCAGAACUAUUCCUCAGAACCCUCCGGUUUUGCAUCCUUGCCUGCUGCUCUCGGCAGGACUUGUAGAUUGUGUGCAUUGAUUUCUGUGCAUAAAACAAGCUAAGAAAUAAGUGAUCAAUAAACGGAGCUCCUUUUUGAGUUCAAAUG
rnacentral:lncRNA from 1 species